GUGCCUGCUACCUUGCGGAAAGGGCUGGCAUCCAUCAUGCUUCUUACUGCAUGAUCUCUAUGGAAACAUCGGAAUUCAUGCGUCUUCGACAACGCACGGCCCUGCUGUUGGGACCUCGUGCAAAUCGUCAAAGAUAGGGCUUGCUCUUGGGCUAAGACUGGAGCAUAGGGUUUGACGAUCCUCCUCCCUACUUGGUGUGUGCUAGCUAGGGCUGACUAUCCCCUGCUUGUCUUGUGCUCACUCAAUGCUUGUCUCUCCAAUCUAUGUAUGUGA
rnacentral:rRNA from 1 species